CNGACCCCAUGCCGAACUCAGAAGUGAAACGCCGUAGCGCCGAUGGUAGUGUGGGGUCUCCCCAUGCGAGAGUAGGGAACUGCCAGGCA
rnacentral:rRNA from 1 species